CGGGGGUAAAGUCACAUAAUGAGGGUAGUCGAUCUUAAUCUUAUAAUAUAACCCAUUACGACCUUAUCAACAUAUUCUAUUUUGUCACAUUAAAUCUACUUACCCAUGCAUACAUUCCCACUAUCUUGAAAUUCUAUAUACACCAAUGAGUCUCUACCCAUAACUUAUUGACUAAUCUACCCCUUUUCAUUCACAGCCUAUAAAUGAUUUUUAUAACCACCAUAACUAUCCACUCUGGGC
rnacentral:lncRNA from 1 species